rnacentral:lncRNA from 1 species
GAAAAGCCAGGCGAGUGAUUUUGAGUGGCUUUCCCUGACUCUUGUUACAGGGGGUGACCUGUGGCACCAGCAAGCCUCGGUGGGUUGACGAGUCUGUGCCGAGUGACGAGUUACUCAAGACUUCAGCUCCGUCGACAACCUGGGUGGAACAUCUACGGGCAAAAACGUUCUCCAAGUGGAGGAAACGGGUUCCGUACAACCUGAGGUUGACUCAAGAUGCGUCGCAAUCGACGGUGGAAAAAAAUACGUGUGGAAUAGAAAAGGCUUCCAAAGCUUGUGAUGAUACCAGAUUUUAGAGCCUCUGGCUAUUUACUGUAUCGCUUAAAUCAGCAGGUGUUUUGCGGAGAACAUUCGAGUCCAGCGUUCUCGAACCCAGUAUUGUCAACAGUGAGCUGCGUUCGCUCUUGUCGACUGAACCAUCCCCGGGUCCGUGGAGUUUUAUCAGCAGGAGGAGCGUGAUAUCCGGACAUGGGCUGCCCCACGACAGUUCGCUGGUGUAGUAGUUUUUUUUCAGGUGAGGUUUUAUUUCAGUCUUUGAGCUGAGGACCGACAAGAUUGAACUUUCUCUGAAUGAGAAGCACGGCCCUCAACCACCGCUCCCCAACCCCGAAGAGCUUUGGAAAUUAGCUUUGGCUGCAGACCUGACCCUCUUCACUGAUUCCGUCUAAAAUCACAAAGCAAAGCAGUGUUUUCUACGCGGGAUUCAGACCAGGUAGAGUCCUCUCCACAGGAGCUAAUGUCAGAAUAACGUCACCCUGCUUCACUACACUUGCCGUGUUGUCAGGAGCUAACACCAAAAGCGAGGGCUCCGUUCCACACGCGUUUGCAGCGGGUACAGGACCUCCCACCGCGGUUCGAGCAGGUGCUCUCGUAGACGUGAAUGCGAACCCACAAGAAAUUCCCACGUUGCAAAAUCCACCCGGCUUCCAUUGCGGAACUCCUGCCUGACCCUUCAGUGGAAGCGAUUAAUCUGCCCAAAGGUAAAUAAGCCUCGAGAGAAAAAUCUAGCAGAAUUCCACAAGUGCCUUUCAGGUGGUCAGUGUGCUUGGCUAAAAAUCCCGUGCUUAAGGCCUGGUACGGAUGUCGUGAGGCGCCCAUCCACGUGAAGACUGUCUCCGCGACAGUCUUAUUACAGGUCAGCACUAACGGGUACACACGGGCAGCCGAUUUUGACGAGAGGCAACUCUAGCUUUGCGCCUGAAUUCAGUGAAAUGUUAAGCCCCCGCUAAAAAGAAUGAAAAUUGCACUCAUUAGUGGACCUCAAGAAAUGUGCUCAAUAAUUAUAUUUGAGUUUCGCCAGUUAAUUUUUUUUCUUUUGUGACGUAAAUCUACAGUAUCCUAGAUUGUUGGCUUUUGACCCAGAAAACCUCAAAAUAUUUUACAUCUGGCCUCUUCAGGAAAAAUUCUGCCUCCCCCUUCAGUCGAUGGAGCAAAAGCGUUGAGGGGUGGGCGGGGGUUCGGCCUCCCCUGUCAGUGCGGCAGAAGGGCAAGUCUGGGGCAGGGAUCCACGACCCUCUGGCCCUGCUCCCGGGGACUUGCCUCUGCUCCUCAGAGAGUCUCUGAGCCGGGAGGAGGAUGCCACCUCUGUGCCUCCGUCUGUUGGUACAGGAGCAAGUUCUGACGCGGGAACCACCUACAGGACAGCCGCGUGUCCCGCAGCGACGAAGGCCAGCCCGACGACCAGCCUGCGGCUCCCAGUUUGUGUGCUGGCACCGUCUGCCCUCAGCUCGCGUUGCCGUCGGUUUGCCUGCACAAGGGCAGUGGAGGCGUUUAUUUUUUCCUCCCGAUACCAACCGAUUCUCUGACCCCCUGCACACACCGGCCGGGUGUCCCGAGAAUUCAGUUCUGACGCUGUCUACCUGGAGUCAGCGCGGGAGCCCACCGGGCAGGGGGCUCGGCCCCACAGGACAGCCCCCACUUCAGACGCCAGUCGCGAGUCCCAAGCCAGCUUCCGAGCGACUAGCUGUGAAGCGGUGCCCGCGAUCUCCUCUGGUUCAGUGAUUUGCUAGAACAGUGCACAGCACUCAAGAGGGCGCGUUAUUUAUGUUUAUUGGCUAUUAUGCAGGGCACGAACGAAUAGCCAGAUGAAGAACGUGGGAUCCAGAGGGGUCACGA